CUCGUCGCCAUGAUGGCGUAGUGACAAGUGUACGCUGUGUUUCGUCGCUCGGGAUAAUUACAGAUUUUGAAGAAUUUCCCGAGCUACAAUACAGCUUCGAAUGUACCAGUUCAUACGUCUCUUCGAUUAUACAACUUUUUAAUUCUUAUAAAGUAUUAGAGUCAGUGUUUGUUUUCGUUCUUGCUAUUUAUUUCUAUAUUAAAAUUAGUUGAUUAAAUAAAGUUAUAUUUAAAAUAAAUUCGCGAAGUAGAGUCAGUGUUAAUGUAUAUUUUUCAUCAUCUUAGAGCAGGGUGCUCAUCGUGCAAAGGAUCAACGAAAACUCCAAUCAUCAUUACAAUUCUUAGCUUAGCCAUGGAUGUGUUUAUUUAAAGUAGUUUACAUUUUGUAAUUUAAAUUUUAGUAAUAUGUGUACUUAAAUUAAUUUAGAACAAAGCAGUGAGUUAUACAGUCAGAGUUUGUUCAUAUAAAGUAUUAAUUUUUUUUUUAAACAGUCACACUGACUGUUCGCGUAUUAGAGUCAGUGCAUCAUUGAAGAUGAUCGAGAAAUUAAUUAACGCUUCUCCUAUGGAAUAAUAUUGAUAACCAUUAUGAUCGUGCCUUACCAGUUUAUAACAAAAUUGAGUUACUUCAUUUUCAACUUUUUCUGAUAUCAACUUAUUUCAUUUUCAACUUCCUAUGGAUCAUCCUCCUUCAAUUUGGAGUUACAUUAGGAGUGUUUUAGAGCCAUCGCAGAACUUCUUAAGUAGUGAGUGAAAAAUUUUAAAUCCCUCCAGUGCCCAUCAUGCUGAGGAUGAAAGGUCCGUAUCGGCACGGGUUACUGGUUGUAAUUUUUUAAACAAAUUAUUGACGAGCAUGACCGUGAGUAAUUCCUCUUUUGGAUUUACUCGCGAGUGGUACAUUUUUAAUUGUUUAUGUGUUUUCAUUGUUUAUAUCUAUUUUGCAUGCUUAUUUUUAUUAGCUUAGGACAGGGUCUUCUUGUUUCGUCGGUUCGAUUAAUUAAUAAUGCAAUUAAUAAGCACUUUUUUGUUCUUAUUUGUUCGUGAUGUUAAUGUUGAAAUCGGGUAUUCAUUUAUCUGAUUUCGUCAGAGAAGCAUGUGAUGUGGUCUACGUCAAAUGCAUUGUUUCGUAACUUAAUCUACAUAAUUGCGAUUUACUUCGAUAUAUCGAUGUAGACGUAGUAAAAAAAUGAACAAGAAGACAAUCGCGACGGAUAGAUUCUGAAAAACAAGCGGUAGAUCAUGAUCUUGUUCUUUUAUUAGAAUAAUCGCUUGUUAAAAGGAAUCGUCCGAGGUAUUUUGAUUAUUGUUACAUGAAGAUUAAUGAAAUAUUCAAUCUAUUUUGUUCAUAAAAAAAAGUCUCAGUAGAGUCAUUGUUUUUGAAAGAAAAAAGUCGAGUAGAGUCAUUGCUAAUAGAAAACAAAGAGACUUGUAGAGUCAUAGUCCGUAGGCCCUAGAAUAAGUUAAUCAUUUUUUAGAUUAGGAUUUUCAGCUUCUAACAAACUAAUUCCCGUUUCUCCCCCCCAUGCUUUCUGCGUUCUCAUCUAUGCGUGUGCCCAGGUGUUACUCGUAUGGGUGAGAAACUGUUAGUAUGGGUUUAGUUUUAAGUUCUCCCAUAUUGGCGACUGUCACAGCGUUAGUGAUUGCGCACGUUGUACCUUGCAUCUGUGUGUUCGUGCUAGGUGGUGCAUUGUACAUCGUUUCGCGAUUAUUUAGAAAUAAAUAUGAAUAAAAUAAUUAUACUAAUAGAUUAUUAUUUAAAAUACUAUAUUAAUCUAUUGUUAUUCAUAUCGUUUUGCAUAGUAGAGUUAGCACAUAUUGUAUGGAAAUAUUCGUAUAUUACUAGUAUGCAUGUAUAUACUAGUAUAUACUAGUAUUUUUUGUUGUAGUCAUUUACGCAAUAAUCAUUAGCCUUGACAGUCGAUUACAGCAAUUGGUACGUACUCCUAAUAUAUUAGAAAAAAUACGCGUUUGAGCUAGGGUGUCGGAGGUGUCCCGGGGCAUACUCUCUAGUGUAGGCUUUUGCACCCUGGCGGUAUGUGAGAGAAUCGUGGAGUGUAUGUGUUGGAACGAAUGUCUUGCUAUUUUUUAAAUAUAGGUUAUAGGCAGGCAGGUAGCAUAUCUUUUUCUGUGUGACUGUGUAUUUAAUUUUAAGUAGGUAGGACCGGAUACAAUGCGUUUUAAUUUCCACUCAGGAGUGGAAUGUUCCGUAUCCGGAUAUUAGGCAAAGUUUCAGCAAAUUUUACAAUUAUUCAGCAUGUCUGUGUUUUUUUUUCCCCUCAUAUUUUGCUGAUGCUCUGUAUUGCAAGAUAUACCUAUCAGUAUCAAACAGUUUAAAAGUCUUUGCAUUUGCUUAAAAAUUUCUUUCUUUCGAAUUUGCAAAGAUUUUUGAACGCGUUAGAUACUUAGUAUUAAGUAUAUUAACACUUCGCACUUUCGUGGUUUAUUUCUUAUAAAGAAUAUAUAAUUUUUUAUACAUGUAGAUAUAGUAAAGUAAAAAUAAUAAAGAUAAAAAGUAAACAUGAUCCUAUAAAAGGAUAAGACCAUGAAAUUUAUCAUAGAUUUUUUAGUUUUUUUUUCUCGAUACUUUUUAAUUUUUCAAAUGCGAAGUGUUAAUAAUAGGUUCAUCGAUUAGAUUAAAUAUUUGCUUGGGCAUUCGAGUAAAUGUGUCUGUGUAAAUGCUUACGAUAGGUGGAUUCUUUCGAUCCAUUGAUCGUCCACAGGCUAGGAUAAUUCAUAAAAUGUAUAAUAAGUUUUUAUUUUUAAUUUUUUUUUUGCACUUGUUAGGGAAUGCUCUAAAGCAGUUGUUAAGGCACGAAGAAAAGAAGAGGCUAUAUGCCGAAGAGGCCCCCACAGAUCGUGGCUCAAGAGGGCAACUAUCGACGACGAGUCAUUUUUUCAGAGGAUUACAAUGUUUCUCUGAUAAUGGCUCGUGGUUUUAUCAUAUUUUUCUAUGUUUUUUACCACGUUGUCAUUUUGCUCGUCAGUAGUAAUUGUUAUAAUUGGAGAUGAUGGACUAUUCCAUCUCCUUGGCAUGUAAAGUUCGUGUCUGAAUCAUCCAAUAGAUGCACACAAGUUUUUAUUUAGUUAGAGUCAAAAUACUUAGAUUCGCAUAUUAUUAGAUUUUGUAAAUUAAUUAAUUAUCGUUGACAUUAUAGUA